rnacentral:rRNA from 1 species
ACGGGUGAGUAAUGCAUGGGGAGCUGCCCAAUCGAGGGGGAUACCAGCUGGAAACGGCUGCUAAUACCGCAUACGCCCUGAGGGGGAAAGGUGGGGACCUUCGGGCCUACCGCGAUUGGAUGCACCCAUGUGGGAUUAGCUAGUUGGUGAGGUAACGGCUCACCAAGGCGACGAUCUCUAGCUGGUCUGAGAGGAUGACCAGCCACACUGGAACUGAGACACGGUCCAGACUCCUACGGGAGGCAGCAGUGGGGAAUAUUGCACAAUGGGGGAAACCCUGAUGCAGCCAUGCCGCGUGUGUGAAGAAGGCCUUCGGGUUGUAAAGCACUUUCAGUGGGGAGGAAGGGAUGAUGUCUAAUACGCAUUGUCAUUGACGUUACCCACAGAAGAAGCACCGGCUAACUCCGUGCCAGCAGCCGCGGUAAUACGGUGGGUGCAAGCGUUAAUCGGAAUAACUGGGCGUAAAGCGCACGCAGGCGGUUAGAUAAGUCAGAUGUGAAAUCCCCGGGCUCAACCUGGGAACUGCAUUUGAAACUGUCUGACUAGAGUCUUGUAGAGGGGGGUAGAAUUCCAGGUGUAGC